rnacentral:lncRNA from 1 species
GAGUUAGAGAGCUAUGGGGUUGUUGUGGAGGCUACACGGAGAUGUGGAGUAGGAGUAGAGAGCUAUGGGGUUGUUGUGGAGGCUCUACUGAGAUGUGGCGUAACAGUAGAGAGCUAUGGGGUUGUUGUGGAGGCUCUACUGAGAUGUGGAGUAGGAGUAGAGAGCUAUGGGGUGGUUGUGGGGGCUCUACUGAGAUGUGGAGUAGGAGUAGAGAGCUAUGGGGUUGUUGUGGAGGCUCUACUGAGAUGUGGAGUAGGAGUAGAGAGCUAUGGGGUGGUUGUGGAGGCUCUACUGAGAUGUGGAGUAGGAGUAGAGAGCUAUGGGGUUGUUGUGGAGGCUACACGGAGAUGUGGAGUAGGAGUAGAGAGCUAUAGGGUUGUUGUGGAGGCUACACAGAGAUGUGAAGUAGGAGUAGAGAGCUAUGGGGUUGUUGUGGAGGCUCUACUGAGAUGUGGAGUAGGAGUAGAGAGCUAUGGGGUUGUUGGGGAGUCUCUACUGAGAUGUGGAGUAGGACUAGAGAGCUAUGGGGUUGUUGUGGAGGCUACACAGAGAUGUGGAGUAGGACUAGAGAACUAUGGGGUUGUUGUGAAGGCUACACAGAGAUGUGGAGUAGGACUAGAGAGCUAUGGGGUUGUUGUGGAGGCUCUACUGAGAUGUGGAGUAGGAGUAGAGAGCUAUGGGGUUGUUGUGGAGGCUCUACUGAGAUGUGGAGUAGCAGUAGAGAGCUAUGGGGUUGUUGUGGAGGCUACACGGAGAUGUGGAGUAGGGAGAUAUGGGGUUGUUGUGAAGGCUCUACUGAGAUGUGGAGUAGGAGUAGAGAGCUAUGGGGUUGUUGUGGAGGCUCUACUGAGAUGUGGAGUAGGAGUAGAGAGCUAUAGGGUUGUUGUGGAGGCUACACAGAGAUGUGGAGUAGGAGUAGAGAGCUAUGGGGUUGUUGUGGAGGCUCUACUGAGAUGUGGAGUAGGAGUAGAGAGCUAUGGGGUUGUUGUGGAGCCUCUUCUGAGAUGUGGAGUAGCAGUAGAGAGCUAUGGGGUUGUUGUGGAGGAUACACAGAGAUGUGGAGUAGGAGUAGAGAGCUAUGGGUUUGUUGUUGAGGCUCUACUGAGAUGUGGAGUAGCGGUAGAGAGCUAUGGGGUUGUUGUGGAGCCUACACAGAGAUGUGGAGUAGGACUAGAGAGCUAUGGGGUUGUUGUGGAGGCUACACAGAGAUGUGGAGUAGGACUAGAGAACUAUGGGGUUGUUGUGAAGGCUACACAGAGAUGUGGAGUAGGACUAGAGAGCUAUGGGGUUGUUGUGGAGGCUCUACAGAGAUGUGGAGUAGUAGUAGAGAGCUAUGGGGUUGUUGUGGAGGCUCUACUGAGAUGUGGAGUAGCAGUAGAGAGCUAUGGGGUUGUUGUGGAGGCUACACAGAGAUGUGGAGUAGGGAGCUAUGGGGUUGUUGUGGAGGCUCUACUGAGAUGUGGAGUAGGAGUAGAGAGCUAUGGGGUGGUUGUGGAGGCUCUACUGAGAUGUGGAGUAGGAGUAGAGAGCUAUGGGGUUGUUGUGGAGGCUCUACUGAGAUGUGGAGUAGGAGUAGAGAGCUAUGGGGUUGUUGUGGAGGCUCUACUGAGAUGUGGAGUAGGAGUAGAGAGCUAUGGGGUUGUUGUGGAGGCUACACGGAGAUGUGGAGUAGGAGUAGAGAGCUAUAGGGUUGUUGUGGAGGCUACACAGAGAUGUGGAGUAGGAGUAGAGAGCUAUGGGGUUGUUGUGGAGGCUCUACUGAGAUGUGGAGUAACAGUAGAGAGCUAUGGGGUUGUUGUGGAGGCUCUACUGAGAUGUGGAGUAGGAGUAGAGAGCUAUGGGGUUGUUGUGGAGGCUCUACUGAGAUGUGGAGUAGGAGUAGAGAGCUAUGGGGUUGUUGUGGAGGCUACACGGAGAUGUGGAGUAGGAGUAGAGAGCUAUAGGGUUGUUGUGGAGGCUACACAGAGAUGUGGAGUAGGAGUAGAGAGCUAUCGGGUUGUUGUGGAGGCUCUACUGAGAUGUGGAGUAGGAGUAGAGAGCUAUGGGGUUGUUGUGGAGCCUCUUCUGAGAUGUGGAGUAGCAGUAGAGAGCUAUGGGGUUGUUGUGGAGGAUACACAGAGAUGUGGAGUAGGAGUAGAGAGCUAUGGGUUUGUUGUUGAGGCUCUACUGAGAUGUGGAGUAGCGGUAGAGAGCUAUGGGGUUGUUGUGGAGCCUACACAGAGAUGUGGAGUAGGACUAGAGAGCUAUGGGGUUGUUGUGGAGGCUACACAGAGAUGUGGAGUAGGACUAGAGAACUAUGGGGUUGUUGUGAAGGCUACACAGAGAUGUGGAGUAGGACUAGAGAGCUAUGGGGUUGUUGUGGAGGCUCUACAGAGAUGUGGAGUAGUAGUAGAGAGCUAUGGGGUUGUUGUGGAGGCUCUACUGAGAUGUGGAGUAGCAGUAGAGAGCUAUGGGGUGGUUGUGGAGGCUCUACUGAGAUGUGGAGUAGGAGUAGAGAGCUAUGGGGUUGUUGUGGAGGCUCUACUGAGAUGUGGAGUAGGAGUAGAGAGCUAUGGGGUUGUUGUGGAGGCUCUACUGAGAUGUGGAGUAGGAGUAGAGAGCUAUGGGGUUGUUGUGGAGGCUCUACUGAGAUGUGGAGUAGGAGUAGAGAGCUAUGGGGUUGUUGUGGAGGCUACACGGAGAUGUGGAGUAGGAGUAGAGAGCUAUAGGGUUGUUGUGGAGGCUACACAGAGAUGUGGAGUAGGAGUAGAGAGCUAUGGGGUUGUUGUGGAGGCUCUACUGAGAUGUGGAGUAACAGUAGAGAGCUAUGGGGUUGUUGUGGAGGCUCUACUGAGAUGUGGAGUAGGAGUAGAGAGCUAUGGGGUUGUUGUGGAGGCUCUACUGAGAUGUGGAGUAGGAGUAGAGAGCUAUGGGGUUGUUGUGGAGGCUACACGGAGAUGUGGAGUAGGAGUAGAGAGCUAUAGGGUUGUUGUGGAGGCUACACAGAGAUGUGGAGUAGGAGUAGAGAGCUAUGGGGUGGUUGUGGGGGCUCUACUGAGAUGUGGAGUAGGAGUAGAGAGCUAUGGGGUUGUUGUGGAGGCUCUACUGAGAUGUGGAGUAGGAGUAGAGAGCUAUGGGGUUGUUGUGGAGGCUACACGGAGAUGUGGAGUAGGAGUAGAGAGCUAUAGGGUUGUUGUGGAGGCUACACAGAGAUGUGGAGUAGGAGUAGAGAGCUAUGGGGUUGUUGUGGAGGCUCUACUGAGAUGUGGAGUAGGAGUAGAGAGCUAUGGGGUUGUUGUGGAGGCUCUACUGAGAUGUGGAGUAGCAGUGGAGAGCUAG